CGUUAAUAAAUUUGGUUUCAUUCUUCACUCACAAGAAAGGAGAAGGAAAAGAUUUCUUUGUGCCCUAGGCCCUGUCACUAAGACCCUUCCCAGCGUAGAGAACAGGCUUAGUUGCCCAGAGCACCUUCGGUCCCUCAGCUGAGCCACCAGGGUCUUCAACAUUGCAGGAAUUCCCAUGGUGGCCAGCAGAGAGAGCUCGAGCACCACAGACCCGGAGGGGCGGGUUCCUCUGCCGAGGCAGUGAUGGCCAGCAGAGGCGCACCAUCGGCUUUUCUGACCCAGGGCACUUCAGAGCAGGAAGGGCUUCUAUUUAUUCCAGAGAGCCCAGCGCCUCUGCUGCUGCCUCAGGACAGAGAGCAGAGCUGCCUUUCCAGCGCGUUCUGCCGCCCACCCCAGGGGAGACCUUGGGAGCUUUGCAGCAACUUGGCAUCUCCUGAGUCCCAGAGAGUAUCUGCCUUGUUGUACUAAGUGCUGAGGAGGGGACGCUGGGUGGCUUCCCUGGUCAAGCUGGUUGCUGAGCUGCACAGGCACUUGCAUUUUCUGGGCUGUUCCCGUGUUUCAUUCCUCUCCUUCCCAGACAGUAUUUGAACAAGACGGAUUUUACUAAAGAACUCGUGGAUUGCGGGGUCCCACGACAUCACCUCAUAGAUGCAGUCGAUGGUUUGUUCCAGAUUCAGGCUUGUUUCCGGGAAGAAACCCUGAAAGAAGUUCAGAAGAACGGGAGCUGCAUUCAAUUAGGACGUGGAUACAUGAAAUGCUCGUCUCACGACCUUCUAGAAGAAUGAGCUGGGACCCAGUUUCUGAGUCCUGCUGGAACCAGAGACCGAGAUAUUGCCCAGGUGUCUGAAAGCCUGCAUUGUGCUGAGCCUUAAGAGAGAAGUUUUGAGUUCAGUUUUGAGAGUAGACAGCCAGUC